UACGUAGGUGGCAAGCGUUGUCCGGAUUUACUGGGCGUAAAGGGAGCGUAGGCGGACUUUUAAGUGGGAUGUGAAAUACCCGGGCUUAACCUGGGUGCUGCAUUCCAAACUGGGAGUCUAGAGUGCAGGAGGGGAAAGUGGAAUUCCUAGUGUAGCGGUGAAAUGCGUAGAGAUUAGGAAGAACACCGGUGGCGAAGGCGACUUUCUGGACUGUAACUGACGCUGAGGCUCGAAAGCGUGGGGAGCGAACAGG
rnacentral:rRNA from 1 species